rnacentral:rRNA from 1 species
AUUGAACGCUGGCGGCAGGCCUAACACAUGCAAGUCGAGCGGUAGAGAGGUGCUUGCAUCUCUUGAGAGCGGCGGACGGGUGAGUAAUGCCUAGGAAUCUGCCUAGUGGUGGGGGAUAACGUUCGGAAACGGACGCUAAUACCGCAUACGUCCUACGGGAGAAAGCGGGGGAUCUUCGGACCUCGCGCCAUUAGAUGAGCCUAGGUCGGAUUAGCUAGUUGGUGAGGUAAUGGCUCACCAAGGCGACGAUCCGUAACUGGUCUGAGAGGAUGAUCAGUCACACUGGAACUGAGACACGGUCCAGACUCCUACGGGAGGCAGCAGUGGGGAAUAUUGGACAAUGGGCGCAAGCCUGAUCCAGCAAUGCCGCGUGCAGGAUGAAGGCCU